rnacentral:rRNA from 1 species
UCAGGGAAGCUUGUGCUAAUACCGUAUGAUGCCUCCGGGCCAAAGAUUUAUCGCCCUAAGGAUGGGCCUGCGUCGGAUUAGGUAGUUGGUGAGGUAAUGGCUCACCAAGCCUGCGAUCCGUAGCUGGUCCUGAGAGGAUGAUCAGCCACACUGGGACUGAGACACGGCCCCAGACUCCUACGGGAGGCAGCAGUGGGGAAUAUUGGACAAUGGGCGCAAGCCUGAUCCAGCAAUGCCGCGUGAGUGAUGAAGGCCUUAGGGUUGUAAAGCUCUUUCACCGGGGAAGAUAAUGACGGUACCCGGAGAAGAAGCCCCGGCUAACUCCGUG